rnacentral:lncRNA from 1 species
CCUUUUCCCCCGGGGGACAUGGGACUGGCCGCAGAGCUCAUCGGACUCAGGGAGAGACAGUGAAGCUUUCUUCUUGUGUGCACUUCUCAUGCACUCUCUUGGCUCCCUGGAAUCCUAGGGCUCAGCUGUACUUUGAAGACCUGCCUAGGAACAUAAUCUGUGGCAAAACUCAGGAUCGGAAAUUUGUAAAACAAGGUUUCUUUCACACUAUUGGGAUGAAUUGAAGAGACAAGUAGACAAGAGCUCUGUGACCAUCGAUCUGGAAGGAAGAACUUGAGCCGCAGAUUCUGAUUGUCAUAGGAAACGCUGUUUUGCAAUCUCUUCCUGGUUACACAGCAGACGUAAAAUGUGUCUGACUCCUAGGCAUGGGAGAGGGCCAACUGGCUCCAGAAGUAUUCACUUUUGUAGUGUCCACUCAGCUAUGGCAGUGAAUCUGUUUGUUGGGGCUAUGCUAUAAACCAAAUCACUGAACUAAUCUGAAUUAAAAAUAAGCUUUUCUUGAGGAAAUGAGAUACAGGGUGGGAACUUCUGAAGCCCAUUUCACUUUUGAAGCCAGGGUCUUACUGAAUUACACCAGCAGAGGCCUAGACCAGAGCCCAUAAAGAGAGCUGUUGAAACACCUACUAGUCACACUAGGACAGCCUCAUUCCUCUUUGUCACUAGUCCUGGCUGAACUUGAAUUUCUGGAAACAUAAUAUUCAGACAAAUGUGUGUUGUCCUUUCAGCAGUGGUUUGGCAAUCAUUUCUGUUUCAUUAAUCAUCCAUACAGCAUGGCAGUGAUCUGAUUUCUCACAGUAGU